ACACUCCUACGGGAGGCAGCAGUGGGGAAUUUUGGACAAUGGGCGAAAGCCUGAUCCAGCAAUGCCGCGUGUGUGAAGAAGGCCUUCGGGUUGUAAAGCACUUUUGUCCGGAAAGAAAUCCUUGGCUCUAAUACAGUCGGGGGAUGACGGUACCGGAAGAAUAAGCACCGGCUAACUACGUGCCAGCAGCCGCGGUAAUACGUAGGGUGCGAGCGUUAAUCGGAAUUACUGGGCGUAAAGCGUGCGCAGGCGGUUUGCUAAGACCGAUGUGAAAUCCCCGGGCUCAACCUGGGAACUGCAUUGGUGACUGGCAGGCUAGAGUAUGGCAGAGGGGGGUAGAAUUCCACGUGUAGCAGUGAAAUGCGGAGAGAUGUGGAGGAAUACCGAUGGCGAAGGCAGCCCCCUGGGCCAAUACUGACGCUCAUGCACGAAAGCGUGGGGAGCAAACAGGAUUAGAUACCCCAGUAGUCCC
rnacentral:rRNA from 1 species